rnacentral:rRNA from 1 species
UACAGAGGGUGCGAGCGUUAAUCGGAAUUACUGGGCGUAAAGGGCGCGUAGGCGGCCCUGUAAGUCGGGCGUGAAAUCCCCAGGCUCAACCUGGGAACUGCACUCGAAACUGCGUUUCUUGAGUAUCGGAGAGGAAAGCGGAAUUCCUGGUGUAGAGGUGAAAUUCGUAGAUAUCAGGAGGAACACCAGUGGCGAAGGCGGCUUUCUGGACGGUAACUGACGCUGAGGCGCGAAAGCGUGGGGAGCAAACAGG